CUCUCUCACCAAUGCUAGCUAAGUUUUUUAGAUUCGUUUUUCUACAUAUAUAGUUAAAUUAUUUGUUUAAGGUAAAUAUAAUUUAUGGUAAAGUUCAAUAGUUAUACAAGAGUGUUGUACUUGCAAACACUUAGACACUUAACUGGGUGAAAUAUUGAGAUGAGAGUGAGCUAAAAAUCAAUGAUUCAUUUUUUCCGAAAACAAAAGAUUUGACAUCGUCUGAUCUUGAUCAAACGGUACUGACUAGCAAGACAGGAGAGGCAUGUGUCUGUUAAUGGAAUUUUGAUACAGUGGAGUUCAAAGUAGAUGGGCCUUAGUAUGGUCCAG
rnacentral:lncRNA from 1 species